GACGGAGGAUGCAAGUGUUAUCCGGAAUCACUGGGCGUAAAGCGUCUGUAGGUUGUUUAAAAAGUCUGCAGUUAAAGGUUGAAGCUUAACUUCAAAAAUGCCGUAGAAACUUUUAAACUAGAGGAUGGUAGGGGUAGAGGGAAUUUCCAGUGGAGCGGUGAAAUGUGUAGAUAUUGGAAAGACCACCGAUGGCGAAGGCACUCUACUGGGCCAUGACUGACACUGGAGAGACGAAAGCUAGGGGAGCAAAUGGG
rnacentral:rRNA from 1 species